GCCUCAGGUGAGGCGGCUGGUUCCUGUCAUACGACAGGCGAAGAGGGAAUGCGACGGGAUUUGCACAUUUUUGUAAUAUUCCAAAUGCAGCCGCCCCCGCGACCGUGACCGAAGAGGACCUAAUGCCACUGACCAAUAGGUUGGGAAGGCGGGAACCAAGGGGUAAGCCCCACUUCGCAAGCCGGGAGACCUGCCAGCAAAACGAGACGGGC
rnacentral:ncRNA from 2 species